rnacentral:rRNA from 1 species
GAUCAUGGCUCAGGAUGAACGCUAGCUACAGGCUUAACACAUGCAAGUCGAGGGGCAGCAUGAACUUAGCUUGCUAAGUUUGAUGGCGACCAGCGCACGGGUGAGUAACACGUAUCCAACCUGCCGAUGACUCGGGGAUAGCCUUUCGAAAGAAAGAUUAAUACCCGAUAGCAUAAUUCUUCCGCAUGGUAGAACUAUUAAAGAAUUUCGGUCAUCGAUGGGGAUGCGUU